AUGAGUUUCCUGAAACUUGGGAAACUGACCGGGGAAAUGGAGGUGACUUUGAGCAGCUUAUCAGUUCAAGAACCAAAGGAAUCCAUGCCAGGAUUUAUGUCAAGGUUAAGACUGCUGGCAGAGGUCAAAUUCAGUGGUGGGCUCUUAUUCUUGUGCAUAAAAUUACAAGCUCGAACAACAUCUGGGAGGCCAAGUCGGUUGCCUUGAGCCACCUCCCACCGACAGAAACUUAACCAUCAGUACCACCACCUGGAAGAAUUCAUUCUGAAUUUAAACUUUCUGGACACCCUUCCACUUACCACCAACAAUAUUGGACGGUAGACACAAAAAAGAUCACGUCCUAGCAAAACCAAAACAUCUCAUGAUGAUGCAGGGUACAAAAGGGCCAUCAGAACCGGAAUUGAAACAUUUCCAGACCUGGCGGAACCAGAUCACUGUCAAGGACAGCAUAUUAUUAUAGGGAGCAAGAGUCAUUUCCCAAGCGAAGGUAACCGCCAUAUACUGGCUGAAUGCCACCAGGGUCAUCCAAGGGUGUCAAAAAUGAAGAUGUUGGCAAGAAGUUAUACCUGAUGGAUAGGAUUGCAUGCUGACAGAACUGGGUUGGUGGGGCAGUGCCCAGAGUGCUGACAAGGACAAAGAUUACCGCUUGCAGCUCUUCUAUGUUCGUGGGAUUAACGAAAUAAACCCUGGAUUCGGUUACAUGUCGUUUAUGCCAUUUCUUU